rnacentral:lncRNA from 1 species
UUCUUCUACAGGUCCUGUCACUGCAACAUCCUUUCAGACUACCACUACCUAUCCAACCCCAUCACACCCUCAGACCACACUUCCCACUCACGUUCCACCUUUCUCCACCUCCUUGGUGACUCCAAGUACUCACACAGUCAUCACCCCUACCCACGCACAGAUGGCCACUUCUGCCUCCAUCCACUCAAUGCCAACAGGCACCAUUCCUCCACCGACAACGCUCAAGGCCACAGGGUCCACCCACACAGCCCCACCAAUGACAGUGACCACCAGUGGGACCAGCCAAACCCACAGCUCAUUCAGCACAGCUACAGCCUCUUCUUCCUUCAUAUCCUCCUCAUCUUGGCUGCCUCAGAACUCUAGCUCAAGGCCACCAUCAUCACCUAUCACCACACAACUCCCCCACUUGAGUUCUGCAACCACUCCUGUUUCCACAACUAAUCAGCUGUCCUCCUCAUUUUCUCCCAGUCCUUCUGCCCCCUCUUCUGUUU